rnacentral:rRNA from 6 species
CGCCGCCCGCGACUCGGCGAGAAGUCCAUUGAACCUUAUCAUUUAGAGGAAGGAGAAGUCGUAACAAGGUUUCCGUAGGUGAACCUGCGGAAGGAUCAUUG